rnacentral:rRNA from 1 species
AUUGAACGCUGGCGGCAUGCCUUACACAUGCAAGUCGAACGGUAACGGGCCUUCGGGUGCCGACGAGUGGCGAACGGGUGCGUAAUACAUCGGAACGUGCCCGAUCGUGGUGGAUAACGAGGCGAAAGCUUUGCUAAUACCGCAUACGAUCUACGGAUGAAAGCAGGGGACCGCAAGGCCUUGCGCGGACGGAGCGGCCGAUGGCAGAUUAGGUAGUUGGUGGGAUAAAAGCUUACCAAGCCGACGAUCUGUAGCUGGUCUGAGAGGAUGAUCAGCCACACUGGGACUGAGACACGGCCCAGACUCCUACGGGAGGCAGCAGUGGGGAAUUUUGGACAAUGGGCGCAAGCCUGAUCCAGCCAUGCCGCGUGCAGGAUGAAGGCCUUCGGGUUGUAAACUGCUUUUGUACGGAACGAAAAGCCUUCUUUUAAUACAGGAGGGUCAUGACGGUACCGUAAGAAUAAGCACCGGCUAACUACGUG